UCCGGUUUGGCACCGGCAGUCUCCCCAGAGUUCCCGGCAUGACCCGCUGGCAACUGAGGACAAGGGUUGCGCUCGUUGCGGGACUUAACCCAACAUCUCACGACACGAGCUGACGACAACCAUGCACCACCUGUGAACCGGCCCCAAAGGGGAAACCACAUUUCUGCGGCGGUCCGGUCCAUGUCAAGCCUUGGUAAGGUUCUUCGCGUUGCAUCGAAUUAAUCCGCAUGCUCCGCCGCUUGAGCAGGCCCCCGUCAAUUCCUUUGAGUUUUAGCCUUGCGGCCGUACUUCCCAGGCGGGGCACUUAAUGCGUUAGCUACGGCACGGAGCCCGUCGAUCGAGCCCCACACCUAGUGCCCAACGUUUACGGCGUGGACUAC
rnacentral:misc_RNA from 1 species